rnacentral:pre_miRNA from 1 species
GAUUUCAGCUGAAAAAGUCAUCAACAACAAAACUGUAUAAAUCAUCAAUAUCUAUAUCUUUUAUUUUGGUCAUUUCUUCAUCCGACAGUCAUAGUAACAUUGUUCACCAAAUUUAUACAUCUCUCUCAUAAUUUAUGAAACCAUAUAGGAGAUAUGUACAAUUUGUGAACAAUAUUACAAUCACUUUAUCGGAUGAACAAAUAAUCAAAAUAAAAAUUGUAGAUCUAGAUGGAUUAUAUAAUUUUGUUGUUGAUGACUUUUUCAGUUGAAGUC